rnacentral:rRNA from 1 species
UGGGGAAUAUUGGACAAUGGGGGCAACCCUGAUCCAGUCAUGCCGCGUGAGUGAUGAAGGCCCUCGGGUCGUAAAGCUCUGUGGAAGACCACGAAACCACGCUGGCUAAUAUCCAGCGUGCUGACGGUAGUCUUUUAGCAAGCACCGGCUAACUCCGUGCCAGCAGCCGCGGUAAUACGGAGGGUGCAAACGUUGCUCGGAAUCAUUGGGCGUAAAGCGCACGUAGGCGGUUCUGUAAGUCAGGCGUGAAAUCCCUCGGCUUAACCAAGGAAGUGCACUUGAAACUACAGAACUUGAAUACUGGAGAGGGUCGCAGAAUUCUCGGUGUAGAGGUGAAAUUCGUAGAUAUCGGGAGGAAUACCAGUGGCGAAGGCGGCGACCUGGUCAGAUAUUGACGCUGAGGUGCGAAAGCGUGGGGAGCAAACAG